rnacentral:rRNA from 1 species
CCUACGGGUGGCUGCAGUAAGGAAUAUUGCGCAAUGGACGAAAGUCUGACGCAGCAACGCCGCGUGCAGGAUGAAGGCCCUCUGGGUUGUAAACUGCUGUAGCAAGGGACUAAUGCCCGUCUCGGACGGGAGGGAAUGUACCUUGAAAGUAAGCGCCGGCUAACUACGUGCCAGCAGCCGCGGUAAUACGUAGGGCGCAAGCGUUGUCCGGAUUCACUGGGUGUAAAGGGUGCGCAGGCGGAUUCGUAAGUCAGAGGUGAAAUCUCACGGCUUAA